rnacentral:rRNA from 1 species
GGUGCUGCAUGGCUGUCGUCAGCUCGUGUCGUGAGAUGUUGGGUUAAGUCCCGCAACGAGCGCAACCCUCAUCCUUAGUUACCAUCAGGUAAUGCUGGGGACUUUAAGGAAACUGCCAGUGAUAAACUGGAGGAAGGUGGGGAUGAUGUCGAGUCAUCAUGGCCCUUAUGGAGUGGGCUACACACGUGCUACAAUGGUGGCUACAAUGGGCUGCAAAGUCGCGAGGCUAAGCUAAUCCCUUAAAAGCCAUCUCAGUUCGGAUUGUACUCUGCAACUCGAGUGCAUGAAGUUGGAAUCGCUAGUAAUCGUGGAUCAGCACGCCACGGUGAAUACGUUCCCGGGUCUUGUACACAC